rnacentral:rRNA from 1 species
AGGGGGUACACCCGGUCCCAUUCCGAACCCGGAAGUUAAGCCCUUCAUCGCCGAUGAUACUGCAUGCCCUACAUGUGGGAAGGUAGGCCGGCGCCAACA